CCCGCUUCUCGCGGCGGGCGGGGCGGGGCCACGGGGGGAACGCAAAGAACCUUACCUGGCCUUGACAUGGUAAGAACUUUCCAGAGAUGGAUUGGUGCCUUCGGGAACUUACAUACAGGUGCUGCAUGGCUGUCGUCAGCUCGUGUCGUGAGAUGUUGGGUUAAGUCCCGCAACGAGCGCAACCCUUUUCCUUAUUUGCCAGCGAGUAAUGUCGGGAACUUUAAGGAUACUGCCAGUGACAAACUGGAGGAAGGCGGGGACGACGUCAAGUCAUCAUGGCCCUUACGGCCAGGGCUACACACGUGCUACAAUGGUCGGUACAAAGGGUUGCUACACAGCGAUGUGAUGCUAAUCUCAAAAAGCCGAUCGUAGUCCGGAUUGGAGUCUGCAACUCGACUCCCUGAAGUCGGAAUCGCUAGUAAUCGCGGAUCAGAAUGCCUCGGUGAAUACCUUCCCGGGCCUUGUACACACCGCCCGUAAAAGAAGGGGGA
rnacentral:rRNA from 1 species